rnacentral:rRNA from 1 species
CACGUAGGGGGCGAGCGUUGUCCGGAAUUAUUGGGCGUAAAGAGCUCGUAGGCGGCUUGUUGCGUCGUCCGUGAAAUCCCGUGGCUCAACUGCGGGCUUGCGGACGAUACGGGCAGGCUAGAGUUCGGUAGGGGAGACUGGAAUUCCUGGUGUAGCGGUGAAAUGCGCAGAUAUCAGGAGGAACACCGAUGGCGAAGGCAGGUCUCUGGGCCGAUACUGACGCUGAGGAGCGAAAGCGUGGGGAGCGAACAGG